GCGGGCGUAAUUAAUGAAUCGUUUUCCCAAGCUGCAUACGAGGGUUCGAUUCCCUUCGCCCGCG
rnacentral:tRNA from 1 species